GACUGUCUCUCCUCCUUCGUCUCUGCCUCGGUCUCUUUGACUCUCAGCCACUGCCUUGCUCUUGCUCACCACUUCUUUUCCAGUCCUUGGAAGAACUGUUUGGAAGUCCUCUGUCAUUCUCUUCCCCAUGAAAAGGAGGCCACUCAGAACAGAACCUUGUUUGUGAUAGAGCUGCCAAACUGUAGGGAAAAGUGCUGUUCACCUGUUCCGUUUUUUCUAUUCCAGAAAUGUACUUUUCUCUUUCUUAGGUAGGAACCCGCUAGUUUGAAGAAUUGGUGCCUGAGUAUACCAUUUUGGCUGCAUUUCCUGCAUUUUCCUCAAGGAAUAUUGGUGAAUCACAGAGACCAAUGCCCUUAUGCACUUUGGAAUGUAGUCUCUUAGGGAAAUAACAGUUGGUACUCAUGUAGGAACUCCAAGACAUCCACCUGAGUCAGGCACAGCGACACUGAUACAGAGAAGAAAAAAGGCAAAAGUAGGGGCUUGGUUGUAUCUGAAGCUUAGUAAGUGAAAGCCAAGAGUAACUGAAAUUUACAUACUCAUUCCUCCUGCCUUAGGAAGAGGGGCAAAGACCUCAUGGGCUUUGACGUCUUAUUUGUUUCUUUUUCCACAAGAAUUACAAUGAUGGGCGGAAUUUCUUCUCCUUUUCCUGAAAAGGAAAGGAAUAGUUUCUUGGACCAGAUGAUUUACUGUGGUCCAAUCAUUGAAAACACUUCCCGUUGGCCAGGAAGUAUGCUAAGCAGCACUUCAGGUACAGUGAAUACCAAGAAAGAUAAUCACUGCCCUGAAGGGGCUCCCAAUGGAAUGGGGCUCUUUGGGGAGACAACUGGCAAAUAGAGGCAGGGAAGUUCGGGCAUCUUGUUCCACGGAGCUGGGACCAGGGAUAGCAGCGGAUUCCGUUUGUCUUCUUUAGUGUCUCCUUUCAAAAAGUUCUCUGGACCAGAUGACGGUUGGAGACCGUUAUGCCCCGUGUGCCUCGAAGGCUUCUGGUUGUUUGGGUGACUCUUCUUUGCCCUGCAGCUAAUAUGGAUGGCUGCUCAGCAGUGAGCAUUUCCAGUGUUUUGUCUGAAUUCCUCUUCUGGCUGAUUCGUGGUAGAAUGGAUGGAGUGUUUAUCAGGAGUUGCUCUUCAGCCUCUAAGUAGCUGGGUGAGCCUGGCCAAGGCAUAGAAGCUGUUUGUGAUAGGGGCGGAUGUCUUGAUUCUGGCGACAGCCAUCCUGAUAUAAGGCAGUGAAAAUAGAGUUGCCCAAAGCCAUUCCUACUCUCUCUCCCUGCCAGAGUCAUGGAAUUUCAGUGGCUUAUGACCAGACUUGAACAUAUUGAUCAACAUUGAGGAUCAAUACCAAAUCUUGAUCUCUCAGCAAGAACUGCUCAACUAUUGAAAAGGAGCUUCUGGGGCAAGUAUAUUCCAUGGAGAUUUCAUACACUGUUUAAGUAUCAGUACCACUAGGAUGUCUCAGAAUUCAGAUCCUAUGCCGAAUGCCACAAAUGUCAGCCUAACAUAUAUCAGAGACGAAAGCUGUUGUAGGAUGCUCAGAAGGCCUCCAGGGACAGUUUCAUUCCCUUCAGGGGUAGAAAAUCUAAGAUCGGAUUGAGUGCAGUCCUUCAAAAUGGCCAUAGUAUUUAUAUAUUGACAGGUUUCUAGCCAUCCUUUCCCCUUGCUAAACUGGUGAAGUUUACUGACUUCUCACCCAGGUAGGACUUUUGACAUUUGUUCUCAUUACAUUUUGUUACUUCUUAUGUGUUAAUAUCUAUUGGAUUCAGAUUCUAUAGCACAAAGUUACAGUUCGAACAAAUUAGGCUAUAUAGUCUGGGCCUUCUUUCAAAGUAUUAAUGAAAACUACAAUCAGAAAAGUGAAAUACCAAUUGCUAAAAAUCAAAGAAUUUGAGUUGGAAAGUUCUUUUGGGGUCAUCUAUUUCACCCUUUAUCAGAACAAGAAUCCCUUCUAAAACAGCCUAACUGGAAGUGUUUACCCAGCCUAAGCUUAUAAAGACUCCCCAGAAUGCCUCUUACCUGCUAAGGCCACUUUGGGAAAACUCUUAAGAGGAAGAGUUUCCUUAAAGCUAAUAACAAUCUUCCCCUCUGUGACUCCUGUACAGUGAACCUAAUGCUGUACUGAGGAAAAUUCAAAGGUAAGUAGUUUUUGUCAGUCAUAGUCUUUAAUAUCAGCUCAAUUCCUUUUUUUUUAAACCCUUACCUUCCGUCUUGGAGUCAAAACUGUGUAUUGGCUCCAAGGCAGAAGAGUGGUAAGGGCUAGGCAAUGGGGGUCAAGUGACUUGCCCAGGGUCACACAGCUGGGAAGUGGCUGAAGCCAGAUUUGGACCUAGGACCUCCCAUCUCUAGGCCUGGCUCUCAAUCCACUGAGCCACCCAGCUGCCCCCUAGCUCAACUACUUUUGACCAAUGUGAAUUGUGUUAAUAGAGGUGACAGUAAAGAGAAAUAAUUGAAAGAGAAAAGGCAUUGAAAUACUGUGAAAAGAAAUCCUUUCAAGAUUCAACAGGAUUUAAUAAAAGGAGUUUACUUGCCAAGAGCAUGGAAGAGAAUUUCAGCAAGGAGUUGGCCUUGGUUUGGUGAUUCUAGCCAAUCAGGAGGCUGAUUGACUAUCAUUGCUGUUUGGAGUAUAUUAAACCUCAGAUCCCCUUGAGCCCCCUCCUCAUUUUCCUGGCUUCUAUAUUUUGGAUAAGCGAAGUGCCAUCUCAAGAGUUGGAGCCUUUCCCCUUGAGACUAUUUAAGUCUUGAGGACAAUUUUCAUGACUUCUUAUGCAUAAUCCAGUCUGGCCAAUAGGAAUUAGAUGUUAGUCCUACUACAUUAGGCAUGAAGAAAGGAAAGACCACCUCAAGUUUAAACCAGAGGCACAUUGGUGGCAUUUUCAGGAACAUCUCAACAACUGCCAUACCCAUGCUCUCUUUAAUUUCGGUUGAUUAAUUCGGCUCCUAGCUGGGACCUUGUCAUGAAUUUAGAAGGACAUGAUGGUAUAUUUGGGAAGUCCUAAAGUUGAAACUAUUAAUAACUUUAACAAAGUGGCAGGACAUAAAAUAAACCUAUAUUAAUUAUCAACAUUAUUAUAGAAUACUACCAAAGCCAUGCAAGAAGAUAUAGAAAGAAAUACUCCAUUUAAAAUAACCACAGAUAGGGGGAAGCUGGGUAGCUCAGUGGAGUGAGUAUUGAUUCCAAGACUGGGAAGUCGUUCCAAGGCUGAAGGUAAGGGUUAAAAAAAAAUAACCACAGAUAGAAUAAAAUACCUGGGAACAUACAAAUCUAGGAAAUGCACAAACAUAAUUGUGAAACAUUAAAAAAUACUUUUUACACAAAUAAAGUCAAAUCUAAGUAAUUGGAGAAAUAUUGUUUAUAAAUGGACAGAGCUAACAUAAUCAAAAUAACAGUCUUACCUAAACAAAUUUACUUAGUCAAUGCCAUUCCAAUGAAAUUGCCAAAAAAUAUUUUAUUGAGCUAGAAAAAAAAUAAAAAUUCAUUUGGAAGAACAAAAGAUCAAGAAUAUAAAAAGAAUUAAUGAAAAAAAAAUGAAGAAAGGAAGUCUAGCAGUCCCAGAUUUUAAAUUGUAUUGUUAAGAACUAAUUAUCAAUACUAUCUGGUACUGGCUAAGAAAUGGAAUUCUAGUUCAGUGGGACAGGAUAGACAUACAACAAAGAUCAGUGAAAGAUUAUAAUAGCCUUAUAUAAGACAAAAAAAAAAAAGAAAAGAUCCAGCUUGGGGAGCAUAAGAAAUCAUUAUUUGGUAAAUAUGGCUGGGACAACUAGAAGUUAUUUUUAACAGAAACUACAGACCAAUAUUUUAUAUCUUUCACUAAGAUAAGAUCAAAAUGGAUACAUGAUCUAGACAUAAAAAGAGAUAUAAGUAAAUCAGAAAGACAGGGAAUAUAUUACCAAUCAGAUUUAUGGAGAGGAGAGCAAUUUUAAGACAGCAAGAGAUGGGAAGCAUUGUGAAAUGUAAAAUGGAUAAUUUUUGAGUACAUUAAAUUGAAAAGUUUUGUACAUAUAAAACAAAUGUUGCUAAGAUCAAAUGGAAAGCAGAAAAUUUCAUAGGGGGAGAAAUGAUAGAGCGCCUCUCAGAUAGAAGUCUAAUAUCUACAAUUUAGAACUUGUCAAAUUUAUAAGAAUAAGAGCCAUUCCUCAAAUGAUAAAUAGGCAAGAGAUAUGAACAGAUCAUUUUUGGAUGAAGAAAUCAAUCAUAUAUAGAAAUAUGAAAAAAAUGCUCUAAAUCACUAAUGAUUAAGGAAAUGCAGACCCAAAGAAUUCUGAGAUAUCAUCACACACCCAUUAUCAGACUGGCCAAAAUGACAAAAGGGAAAAAAUGACAAAUGUUGAGGAAUGUGAAAAAAUGGGUACAGUAAUACACACUAUUGGUGGAGAUGUGAAUCAAUCCAACCAUUUUGGAGAACAAUUAGGAAUCCCAUCCAGAAGUUAUAAAACUGUAUAUCUCCUUAGACCUAGCAAUAUCACUGCUAGGUUUAUUUCCUAAGGAGAUUGAGGGAAAGGAAAAAGUACCCAUAUUUUCCAAAAUACUUAUUGCAGCUCUCUUUGUAGUGGCAAAGAAUUGGAAACUGAGGAGACACCCCAUCAUUUGGGGAAUGGAUAAACAAAGCAUGGAAUAUGAUUGUGAUGGAAUACUCCCACAUAAGAAGCAAUAAGCAGACUAAUUUUUUUAACUUGAAAGGAACUACAUGGGAUAAUGAACAAUGAAAUAAGUAGAACCAAGAGAGCAUUAUACAUAGCUACAGAAUUAAUACUGGAAGAGUAAAUUGUGAAUGUUACCUCCAGAGACCAUACUGAAAGGUGAAAACAUGAAAGAUUAAAUUUGUAUGAACAUACUGGUUUCCCAAAUGAUACCCUUUGUGAUGUAGAAAAGUGGGGCAGGCUGGGACACUUGUAGAUGGGAUUUAUUAUGUAGAUAUGAAGAAAAAUAAGCUAAACAUAUAAGAGAUUUGUGAUUUCAAUAAUGUAGAUCUUCAUAUUUGCAAAUGCUUAUUUUGUUAGUUUUGUAAAAUUUGGAAUAAAAAAGAAAUAUCUAACUCACCACAAAAAAGCAAACAUCUGGGAUCACCAAAUCCCUCCUCACCUCUAGAGAGUUGUCCAUCUAAGUUCUCACUUGCAGACUCUAAUCUCUGCUCAGACAACACUAACAUAGAAUGUGAUUUUGUUAUUUUUCUGUUAUUCAAUUGUUUUUAUGUCUGACUCCAUCUCAUUUUAGGGUUUUCUUGGCAAAGAUACUGAAAUGGUUUGCAUUUCCUUUUCCAACUCCUUUUACAGAUGAGGAAAUGAGGAAAGCAGAGUCAAGUGACUUGGCCAGAGUCACACAUCUAUUAAGUGUCAGAGUCCAGAUUUGAAUUCAUGAAGUUUUAGGCACAAGUGUGGGUAUCUGCACUGGAUCAGAUGUAUAUUGGAGCCAUAGCCACCUGGAAGGCAAGAUUCCUCACUAGGAAUUGCCAGCCCAGCAAGAAAGCCCUGAGAAAUGUAGUGAGGGAAGUUACAAAGUGCACAGAAGCUGCAAAGAAUUGAUUGACAGCCCUCAAGCCUCAGAAUUCUCCAACAGCUGGCUGGGUCCGAGUUCUAAGCUGUUGAAGGGAGAGUUUUCCAAUGUCUGUCUGGAGCAAAAGGUUAAGCCUGAAGGGUAUGAAUCUGGACUCUUCUUAGACAACCUCAUCUUGUAAAGCUGCCUGCCUUAGAAUAAGAUCAAAAGGAUUGAGAAGAAGAUCCCCAUAUAUUCUGGUGGAUGGAGUGAUUUUGGAGGAGCCUUUCUCUCUCUUUCCUAAAACAUCUGACAAUUCAGCAGCUGGAUUCCUGUUACCUGACCUAACAAGGACUCUGUGUGUGAGAUUCUGGGUUCCCUGUUGGACUUCUCCUUAGUAAUCUUUAAUUGGGUUAGUUAGACAGGUUAAGCUAAGGAAAUUAACUAUAGAGUUAAAUAUCUUGGGGCAAAUAGUCAGAUGCAAACCUUUCCCCUUUUCCUUCCUCAUCAUCCCUUUCUUUGUUAACAAACUCAUUUAAGUGUGUUUUUCCCCUUUGUAUAAACCUUUUUCCUUUCCCAAAAGUCCCUAUAACAGUUUUGGUGAGCCAAGUAGGAGUUAGGAAUAUAAUUUAAUAUAAGCAUAUAGCAGUUAGAAAAGCCAAAGUCAGUUACAGCCUAGGAAGAUUACAUUUUGCUCUCAGCAGGAGGAACAUUCCAAAGGUGGGGUGCAGUGGAAUCCUGGGACUCUGGCAGAGAACUAAGAGACAUUUAAGCCCUUUCAGUCCCCUGGCACAUGAAGUAGGCAGCCAUCUUGGAAUUUACUUUUGUUGAAUUUUUUUGAAAAAUGUUUCCCUUUCUUUAAUUGUGUAUAGUUACAAAGGAAUCACAGUGAAUUACAAUAGUAUUCAUUCUAUUGUAUAUACUGGGUUACUAAUGAAUGCAAACAUGUCUGGGGACAUGUUAAAGGAUUUUUUGUUUAUACUUUGGCAGUGUGUUGUACACAUCCCAUACAUUGUUUUCACCCCGUUCCCUAAAGUGUGUUACAUGUCACUAGACUACCAAUGGAUGAAACCCUGCAUGUCACUGACUGUGCAAACUAUAUUGUCCUAUGAUCCCAUACUGUGUAUUUGUAUGUGUACUGCAUCUAAGACUCAAACACAAGAAGGAAGGGAGAAUCUUUGGUUAUGGACAUCAGUGAUACCAUAUUACAUAGGAAUUGGACUAUGCUAUGAAUCUAAUCUCCCUUUUCUUCCCUCAGAAACUGAGACUGUGUAGGGUGAGGGGUCGGGAGAUUUUACCCACAUACGUUGGUAAAGGAUGUUUGUGCAUCUGUUCUUGCUGUUCCUUUAAAGUAAAUAUUCCUUUGUAAAAGCUAAUCCUACUGUUAAGUGGUUAAAUGUAACUAGGGUAUUCAGAUAUUCUCAAAUUAGGAAAUACCAUUGGUGGGGGCUUGAGUCAAUUACAAAGAGACUAGUUAUUCCCAAUCUCCCUUCUAUGUACUGGAGAACUCUGAGGGAGGAAUGAUAUGUAAGAUCCUGUUAGAAAUAAAGAAAUCUCUGGGUCAUAAUUCUGAGCUGAAGGUCCAAACUUGAAUUGUGAAAAAUUAAAGCUGGAGAUCUUACCACAUCCAAUUUGUGACAAGACCCCAUAUAGUUGUUCAACAGUUAUGUUUCGUAGUUUUUUAAUAGUGAAUUAACAUGGCAUUUACAGAGCAAACCAUACAGAGGAUGUUAAGAAACAUACAAUGGUGAAUAAAAACAAGGGUUGGAAGCAAUUGCUACAAAUUCCUCAAAGGUCAGUACAAGGUACAUCAUACUAGUUAGGUCAGAGUCACCCUUCUUGGCCACAAUACUCUGGGAACCUGGAGUGGCAUAAAUCUUUAAAGGAUCAACACCUGAAGAAAACAAGAUUGUUUGCAUAUUGCCUCAUCAGGCCUGCUGUACACUCUCUACUCUCAAUGAACCUAGAACCUUCUGCAUGGAUUUUUAACUUCCCUAGACUCAACACAGACCCAACA